GGAGAUUUAGCUCAGCGGUAGAGCGCUUGCCUAGCAAGCACAAGGCCCUGGGUUCGGUCCCCAGCUCCG
rnacentral:tRNA from 1 species